AGUGAACGCUGGCGGUAGGCCUAACACAUGCAAGUCGAACGGCAGCACAGGAGAGCUUGCUCUCUGGGUGGCGAGUGGCGGACGGGUGAGGAAUACAUCGGAAUCUACUCUGUCGUGGGGGAUAACGUAGGGAAACCUACGCUAAUACCGCAUACGACAUACGGGUGAAAGCAGGGGAUCUUCGGACCUUGCGCGAUUGAAUGAGCCGAUGUCGGAUUAGCUAGUUGGCGGGGUAAAGGCCCACCAAGGCGACGAUCCGUAGCUGGUCUGAGAGGAUGAGCAGCCACACUGGAACUGGGACACGGUCCAGACUCCUACGGGAGGCAGCAGUGGGGAAUAUUGGACAAUGGGCGCAAGCCUGAUCCAGCCAUACCGCGUGGGUGAAGAAGGCCUUCGGGUUGUAAAGCCCUUUUGUUGGGAAAGAAAUCCAGCUGGCUAAUACCCGGUUGGGAUGACGGUACCCAAAGAAUAAGCACCGGCUAACUUCGUGCCAGCAGCCGCCGUAA
rnacentral:rRNA from 1 species